rnacentral:rRNA from 1 species
CAGCAGCCGCGGUAAAACAGAGGCCUCAAGCGUUGUUCGGAUUCAUUGGGCGUAAAGGGUGCGUAGGUGGCUUGGUAAGUUGAAGGUGAAAUCUCGGGGCUUAACCCCGAAACUGCCUUCAAUACUGCUAGGCUCGAGGACUGUAGAGGAGAAUGGAAUUCACGGUGUAGCAGUGAAAUGCGUAGAUAUCGUGAGGAAGACCAGUGGCGAAGGCGAUUCUCUGGGCAGUUCCUGACACUGAGGCACGAAGGCCAGGGGAGCAAACGGGAUUAGAUACCCCCGUAGUCCCUGUCUCUUAUAC